rnacentral:lncRNA from 1 species
AGGGAAGUGCGCCUCCACCCAUGCGUCUCAUCAUCGUAAUUUUUUUGAAGUUCACUUUUGAUAUUUUUGCUAUAGAUUAAAAAGCAUUAGUAAAGAAAAGGGUGAAUUGAUAUCGGGAAUGCAAUUCUAUUGGUUGAUGCAGUUCACUCGGGUGUUCAUCGGAAUGCGUGACGAUGCACUCCCGCUGCUGUUGACUUGCGGUUCAUAGGCGGGUGGUGCAGAUAGUUUCCUUGUGCAGUUCUUACGCUUAUUUCUAUUUGUUUCAAAGUGAAAAAUGUAGCCCUAUUCUUUUGCUCUUGAUGUUCAUUUUACUUCUUUUGUAGGAAAAUAUGAAGUCAUGAAGUUCGACUGGAUGCCCUAUUACUCAAUUUUCUUGUUGUUAGAAACUAGACUUCAUUAGUUCAUUGUAAAAAAUGCAAUUCAUUACCACGAUGGUGUAGUUAUAUUUUAGUUAGUAUAGAUAUUUUAUGUGUGUGUGGUUGUGGAAAACAAUCAAAUAGAUAUGUAUGCUUUGAAGCUCACUUUGUUCUCUCACGUACUACGUGAAGCUACUGCUCCACACGCUGUACUCUUGUGUAUCUUGAUGCGGUGCGGUGCAUCGCCGCGUUCAGUUCGGGACCAUUUUUUGAAAUUUUUCUUAGGCACAACACCGUAGUACGCCCGAGACAUGCAGUGCAGCUGGGCAUUCAGUUGCAACAAUUUUCUUGUUGAUUUUCUAGUUUUAUAAAAAAUUUCAGUUGCAGAUCACAGCUACAACACUUACUUUCAAUGCGGUUUACUUCUAUGUGUUUACUUCUAGUUACUAUUGCGG